UUCUUUUACUGCUUGAUUGAUGUUAUUCACAUUGAAAUCAUUUGGAGCUUUGAGAUGCAGUUUUGAAGGUUGAAUUUCUCUUGUGUAAAUGAAGGUAUGCUGUCAGAUUCUGAUGCUCUAUGGUUCAGAGCAUAUAUAAUUUUAAUCCAGUGUUGGGAGUAAUGAGAGUUGCUUAAUAUUGUAUAAUGUAGGAGUUCAUUUGCCAUUUUUUAACCAUCGGGUGUCUUAUAUUGGCCUAAACUUUUCCCCUCUUUUUUCUUUCUUUUUUUCUUUUUUUCUUUUUCUUUUCUUUUUUCUCUCGAGAACUUGUCAUGGUUAGGUAAAGCUUCAUUCAUGUAAGGUCAAGUGAACUUGGAUGUUGCUGCAAUGAGUUAUACAUCAUGUUGCGUUUGAGCAAAUUGGCCGACUUACAGUUUUUACUUAAGUAAAUGAUGAAAAGCAAGUGUCGAUUUCAACAGGUAAUUCUUCAUGAAACUGCUGGGUUGUUCCUCGAUUUCUGUAGGACCUCCUAUAACAUUUGUAUCUAUAGUUGCCGCAAUGUUAACUCAUUUAUGUUAACCUUUAUCUGUGCUCCAUUUAGUUUUUUCUCACUACAGUUAAUUACAGAUUCACUGAUUUAUAGUGUCAUCUUAAUGAGUGUGUUGGGUUUUCAAUUUGUUGUUUUGAUAUUAUGUCAUGGAACAAGGAUUUUGGUUUUGAAAGAUGAACUUGUUGGCUGUUGCAUUGAAAGGUUGGAAAGAGCCUCUUUAUCUGCGUAAGGAAGACUGCAGUCACCAAUGAAGCCUGCAAGUGUAUGCCGUGCUAUGUUGCUAUUACCAUAAAAUAGAUCUAUCUGUUCAUGGUCUCCAUAGUCUGUAGUUUGGCGCAGGAAAAGUACACACUUUUAUAAGUUAUCAUGUACAAAUAGAAUUAUACUACUGUGUAUCCGAAGGAUGGUAAAAUAAUUAUUCAAGUACAAUUGGUGCAAAAAAUAAGAAAAAAUGGCGAGUGUUCCCAUUUAGUGGGGUCUAGGGAUGGUAG
rnacentral:lncRNA from 1 species